CAUUAAUGUCAAUCGCAAUUUGCAAUUGCGGACAUCAAGAAACCCGUCGAUCGUGGUAUUUAUUAUUAAGCGAGGCGAAGUCGAGGCAAAACGAGUCGCAAUCUAUAUCUCCUCUAAAGUGCGCUAGGUUUAUAGUACGACAAGCGACAAAAAAUGAGGUACAACGUCAGAAAAUUAAAUAAUUUAUUAUGCACAACAUCGUAUUCGGAUCAAGUAUGAUACAAUGAGUCAUUUUCCCUUUCCGAAUCCGUGUAAUGCGGCUGAUGCACAUUCCAUGCGCGCGCGCGCGCGAGCGAGCAUGUGGGCGUGUGCGUGCGCGCACGAAUGCGAAGGAAAACCAGGAGAAUCUCGAUCACCUAGAGAGAAUCCAAUGAGAACAGGACGACUAUAACGUCGAAAGGAGCAUCGUCGCACCGCGCACGGCGCAUGGACACUUCUUAAAAUUAAUUAUAAAAUCACACACGAUGAAAAGAACCGAUAAAGAUACGCCAUUCAUUUCGCGCGAGGUAUGUCCUCUCCUUGAUCUUCAUUCUUCUGUCUUCAUCCCCAAACCCAAACGUCUUCAACAAACGGUUCCAUCCACUGAUAUUCUGGGAAACAAUCCUGCCAUUUCUUCUUCCUUCUUCCCUUUGAUUUCUACCGAUUUUCUUCGGGCUUGUUCGGGAAAUGACACUUUAUUACGGAUCAGGAAGCUCUGUUCUGAGAAGAGCGUCUCUCGAGCACGAACAGCAUGAACGUCAUCACAAUGUCCUCUCAAACGCGACUCAUGUCUCCGAAUUCGUGAAACAAAAUCCUUAUCCGCGUUCUCUUUGAAGUACACCCUUCUUCAAAAGGAGAGAGCUAGCUUGCAUUGCGGCUCGGUUGGGUUGUUUUGCGUGUAGUUAAUACUUAUUAAAAGAACAUUUGGAAAAUUGAUCAAAGCAAUGAAGCGUGUCACGCUAUAAAUGAUUGAAAAGGAGAGAGCAGUCGUCUUGUCGACGAAUCAUCCCCGAGUCGAUAACGAACGAGGAAAGAUGGAUUUUUUUCCUAUUGCGAAGACCACAGAUUGUACCGUUUGCGUUGAGUCCCCAAUGAGAGUCCGCAUCUAUGUCCUCUUGAGAUUAUGUACAAUUGCACGCGGGGGAACUGAACGAGGGAGCACGUAUGUACAAAUUCACAGUCGAAGUCCCAAGCUUUCGAUUUUUGCGCCCGACGGUGAUGAAAUUGCGCCACCGCCGUGGGACGAUGAUUUGAAGAUCGUUUGCGAGAGAUAGAGCCAGCACACACGGGCUUCCGAAGGUGAAAGAAAUUUACGGAAACGAUGUGUACCCCAGCGAAAUGGAAUCUAUCUAAAUACUUGUAUAUAUGCAUAUGAGUCACACAAGCGCACACAUGCCGGAAACAUAUGCAUAUACACGUAAUACUACACACGUGAGAUUUAUGCAUGGUACGCGUGUGUAUGUAUGUGUAUGUAUGCAUGAAUGUGUGUAUGUGUGUGGCCCAUCUUUUUCACGUGUUAAAAUAUCUUCCGCCCAAAGGGUAAAGGUAGGACAGUAGAGUGGCGUUGCCUUCUACCAACCACCUAGACUACUACUGCUUGCCUUGCAGUCGAUUUGUUGUCGAGCGAGAUCAGCAUAAACCAAGCCGAACUCACUGACAAAUUCAUAAAACUUGUCCAAAGAAUCAAAGGCCAAUUCUGCUACGACGAAAUGAACCGCCAAAUUUUGCCGGUAGCUAAACAGCAGAAGAAAUGCAAAUGUUAGAUAAUUGCCGCAUAUAUGGUGACAUGAUAGUGAAACAUAAAACAGAAAAAAAACAAUUAAAUAUGCAAUUAACUUUCAGCUACGAUGUCCUGUAACAGAAAUCUGCAAUUAUAGUUCAUGUGGUCCAUGUUU